GCCUAGCUAGCUCAGUCAGUAGAGCAUGCGACUCUUAAUCUCAGGGUAUGGGUUCAAGCCCAACGUUGGGAG
rnacentral:tRNA from 1 species